rnacentral:rRNA from 1 species
UACGGAGGGGGCUAGCGUUGUUCGGAAUUACUGGGCGUAAAGCGCACGUAGGCGGCUUUGUAAGUUAGAGGUGAAAGCCCGGAGCUCAACUCCGGAACUGCCAUUGAAACUGUUUAGCUUGAGGAUGAGAGAGGUGAGUGGAAUUCCCAGUGUAGAGGUGAAAUUCGUAGAUAUUGGGAAGAACACCGGUGGCGAAGGCGGCUCACUGGCUCAUUACUGACGCUCAGGCGCGAUAGCGUGGGGAGCAAACAGG